GAUAAUUGUUUGUAAAGUGCCAACAUAUUCUACAGUGCUGUACAGUUGGUGGACCAACAAACAGGUAGUUGCGACCAGACAAGUUGGACGUACGGGAACAGUAGGUGGAGAGGUUAAAUGAACGUACAUUCCAAGAGUGGCCGGAUAUAAUAGAAAAGGUAAAAUGUAUUUCAGACUCCGUUGAUUGCUGGGGAUUGAGGAGAAUUUACAGUACAAGGAGAUCUUGAUA